rnacentral:rRNA from 1 species
AGUGAACGCUGGCGGUAGGCCUAACACAUGCAAGUCGAACGGCAGCACAGUAAGAGCUUGCUCUUACGGGUGGCGAGUGGCGGACGGGUGAGGAAUACAUCGGAAUCUACUUUUUCGUGGGGGAUAACGUAGGGAAACUUACGCUAAUACCGCAUACGACCUACGGGUGAAAGCAGGGGAUCUUCGGACCUUGCGCGAUUGAAUGAGCCGAUGUCGGAUUAGCUAGUUGGCGGGGUAAAGGCCCACCAAGGCGACGAUCCGUAGCUGGUCUGAGAGGAUGAUCAGCCACACUGGAACUGAGACACGGUCCAGACUCCUACGGGAGGCAGCAGGGGGGAAUAUUGAACAAUGGGCGCAAGCCUGAUCCAGCCAUACCGCGUGGGUGAAGAAGGCCUUCGGGUUGUAAAGCCCUUUUGUUGGGAAAGAAAAGCAGCAGGUUAAUACCCCGCUGUUCUGACGGUACCCAAAGAAUAAGCACCGGCUAACUUCGU